GUCCUUUUGAUUGUAAUUUAAGGUCUGACCUGCCCACUGAUUUAAAUUGAAGGGCCGCGGUAUUUUGACCGUGCAAAGGUAGCAUAAUCAUUAGUCUUUUAAUUGGAGGCUGGAAUGAAGGGUUGGACGAGGCAUAGACUGUCUCAUUGUAAUUGGAGCUUGAAUUUAACUUUUGGGUGAAAAGGCUUAAAUAAGUUUAAAGGACGAGAAGACCCUAUAGAUCUUUAUAUUGAGGGCUUUAUUAAUAGUUUAGGUAGAUUAAUUUUAUUAGGGAAUUAAAUAUUUUGUUGGGGUGACGGGAAGAUAGAAUGAACUCUUUCUUAUAAAGGACACUGAUUCGUGUGCAGAUGAU
rnacentral:rRNA from 1 species